AUUGAACGCUGGCGGCAGGCCUAACACAUGCAAGUCGAGCGGAAGAACAGAGCUUGCUCCUGGUUUCAGCGGCGGACGGGUGAGUGAUGCCUAGGAAUAUGCCUGGCAGUGGUGUCGAACGUCCGGACAUGGGCGCUCAUACCGCAUACGUCCUGACGGCGUAAGUGGGGGAUCUUCGGAUCUUCCGCUCUCAGAUGAGCGUAGGUCGGAUUAGCUAGUUGGUGGGGUGAAUGCCUACCAAGGCGACCAUCCGUAACUGGUCUGCGAGGAGGAUCAGUCAAACGGGAACUGAGACACGGACCAGAGUCCUACGGGAGGGAGCAUUGGGGAAUAUUGGACAAUGGGCGAAAGCCUGAUCCAGCGAUACCGCGUGUGGGAAGAAAGUCUUCGGAGUGUAAAACACUUUAUGUUGGGAGAAAGAGCAGUAAGUUAAUACCUUGCUGUUUUGACGUUACCAACAGAAUAAGCACCGGCUAACUUCGUG
rnacentral:rRNA from 1 species